UACGUAGGGGGCUAGCGUUGUCCGGAUUUAUUGGGCGUAAAGAGCGUGUAGGCGGCCAGGUAGGUCUGCUGUGAAAACUCGAGGCUCAACCUCGAGACGUCGGCGGAAACCAUCUGGCUAGAGUCCGGAAGAGGAGAGUGGAAUUCCUGGUGUAGCGGUGAAAUGCGCAGAUAUCGGAAGGAACACCUGUGGCGAAAGCGGCUCACUGGACCAUUACUGACGCUGAUGCACGAAAGCUAGGGGAGCAAACAGG
rnacentral:rRNA from 1 species